ACUUUAAAAGUGCUUGGACGCCAAAUUGACAUUGUGGCCAUUCUGAUCUGUGGAUUUUCAAUGCCAUUUGAUCCGGGAAACUCCACAAACAUCU